GGUAUCACCAGCGAACUUGCUGAGGGUGCGCUCGAUCCCGCUGUCCAUGUCUCUGACAAAGAUGUUGAACCAGUCCCAGUACAGACCCCUGAGGGAUGCCACGCGUUCUUGCCUUUUGUCCCUUUGUUGCAUGCCCUUGCUUGUGUUUAUCCCUUCAAGCUGGACUCUUUCAGGUGUUUGUGUUAUGCCUGCAAGCUCAGUACCCCAGCCCAGUGAAAGACAGCUCCCUUAAGACUUAGACAAGCAUUGCGCAGGAAAAGAGAGGUCUGUUCAACUCGCUGUUCAGAGACAGUAUUUACUGAAUGACAUGUAUGCACUACCCUUCUGAAACCUCAACUCUGUUCAAGUUCUGGUAAAUAAAGGUGUAGUGGAAGACCAAAUUCUCCUUAAAAAAUAGUAGGCCAUGCUGUGUAACAGAAGGGCUUAGUCAGAGAAACGGAGCAGAAAGAGAGCUGCUUCUUAGCUGAGGACUUCUAUCUUAAAAUAAUACAUGUUGCAGAAAACAACUAAGAAGCAAAGGAUUCUCACACAACUUUGAUAUCACAGCUUAUGCCUCCUGAGAGUGUUUCUUCACACUGCUGCCGUAGCUUGUUAGGUUAGGGUGGGAUAUUCCCCUGUUGCUCCUGGUAUCGUUGCUUUGCUAGAUUCUUACCCUACUUGAGGACAGUUGCAUAUAGCAGAAAUACCCUUUUGAUUAAGAAAGAUAUUGUUGAAAGGCAACAAUACGUUUUCCCAAUUUCCAUUUCUCAGUCUAAUUAUUCUGGUUCUCGCCAUUGUUGUCCCCUGGAAGAGAUGCCUGCUGAAGCAGAGGGAGGAGAAGACAGUGAAUGCAGCUAAUCCAAUGUGUGAUUUAGUCAGGCAGUUCAACUGAAUGAACAAGCAAAUAAGCUGUAUUUCAAGACCUCCUUUUCCGUGAAAGUGUUCUGGUUUUGUUUUUUUUUUUCUUUUGUUUCCUCAGAGUGAUUCUUGGCUCCGAAGAUAACGGCCACUGUUUUUUGUUUGUUUCCAUCUCACCACGUUUGCAGCACAGCAGACUCUCCCAAAAGCCUUUCAACAUGGACUCAUUUUGCUGUUUGCCCAGCGAAUACAGAUUUUUCAUUUUGAUCUACGUUGUGUGUGGUUUUGGCACACUUUAUAAAUGAACCGAUUAAACGAGUUUUGCUAAUGACUGCCCCUCCCUGUUGGUAGUCAACCCUCAUCAUUCAUGGCCUUCCAUACUGAAGGAGAUGAGCCACCAUGGGGCAAGUGCUUCUUGUAAAGGCCAGAGUAAAUGUCAAGAAACUUCUUCCCUUCUCCUUGACCCAGAAAUGUUGCUGUAGCUCAGCGUCACUGGACAGGCAGUGUUGGGUUGUCCGUAGCAUGACUAUUUUGGGGUAAGUGUCGCUAAGGUUCAGCCAGAUUGUCUAGGUGGGCAAUCACUGAGGUGAGACUGCAUGGGUAAUUUAUGGCAAGUUCUGCAUUUUGUAAUUUAUGCUCUGAAUCUUUGAAUGACAAAGUUAAUUAGCUUUCUCAGAUGAGUGAGAAUCAUGUGUUUAGAGGGGGAAGGAGAAUGCAUCUGGACUCGGGAAUUGCUUGGUGGGGAGGCCCAGGUACUCAGUCAGGUUCCCUUUCUUCUGGCCUGAUGCAUCCUGCUUUUUUCCUUUACAGCAGCCCAGGAUCACGGGAGACAUGGAAACCGCUUCCUCCCUGAGCUUCCUGCAGCCUACUGGAGGUCUGCAAACUGGGACCUGGGGUCAAACCCACCAGGCAGAGGUAGCACCCAGAGCUCCCUGCUCCCGAUGGUGUGCUGUUGUCCUGAGUCUGUUGUCCAAAAAGCUGGCUGCAUCGCACCUGUCGCUUUUAGUUGAACAUGAGGUUGUCUUUGGCUGUCUGCAUGACUCUGUCAUGAGUUGUGGUGCCUCUGGGACCUGUAUUGGGCUGGGAGCUCAACCUUCAGCAGGAGUAAAGGAGGUGAAAGAUUUCAACAUGUUAGGUUUUUUUACAUGGUGACUAGAAACUGGGAGUAUGACCUGGCCGUGAAAAAGGUAAAAGGUGUUAACCUUAAGCUUACCUGUAUGUCUUUCCAUUAAACUUGACCUUACCUGUGUGCCUUUCAGUUAACCUUGAGUUUACCCGUGUGUCUUUCCAGCUGAGAUGGGGGCAUUGCCUCAUACAAGAUGCACAUCUGCUCUCUUGCAUUCAAGAAAGAAAAAUUAAAACUGGAACAAGUGAGGAAGAGGGCUGAUAUGUUGAUCAGGGGAAGGGAAAGGCUGUCCUAGGAGAGGAGACUAAAAGCUUAGCUUGCUUUGCCUAGCAAGUGGAAGCUGGGAGGUGAUACCAUCAUUUAGUCAAAAUCCUUCAGGCUGGCAGUAAAGAGCAAGGGAAAAGCUAUUCCAGCCAAAAGACAAUGUUGGCUUGUGAGCAAGUGUCACUAACUGAUUGGGAAUAAAUUUGAACUGGAAAUUAGGAGUAAGGUGGGGGCAAGGUGCUGAUGAACCUUUUGUACUCUGUGUGUGGUGCCAGGACUGUAAAGCCCCAUGCCUGCAGCAUGACCUUUUGCAGGGUGUAACGUGGUGUCAGAAAGGCUGUGCUGAAACUGCAUUUGGUUUGGACUAGCAGCGACCAUUCGAGAAACUGUUGUUUGCCAUGUGCGCAGAGCGGGGUUUCACACUCGACCUCUUUUGAGUUUCCUUCUUGACUUUGGUUUGUGGGAAGGAGCUAGUCUGGAAGGGGAAAAUAAAGGAAAAGCUUCCAACUCCGCUUCUUAAGCUCAGAACGUGUGAUGGCCCCGUUUGCUAUCAGUUUGCUGGGCUAGUCCUCUACAAACAAGAGGAAUUUACCCCACGGCAAUCUUUCUUCACUAGAACCCUGCAAAAGGAAGUGAAGUUUAAUUAGCGUUUUAAAGUGGACAGCCUUGAAGUUAAUGAUAUUCAAUAAAGAAAAAUUGUUUUAACCUUAUUUGCACUUUUCAAUUUACUUAUUAGAGGCCAUCUGUUAUAUUUUAAGCAAGAGCACUGGGAGCUAAACUCUCAGAUUGUCAAAUGAGGUUUUAACUGGCUAAGCAGAAGGGAAGGAACAGGCUGCCUUAAAAGAGCAAUUAGACUGUUUUUCUUCAAUUUCUCACUUUCGUGUCAAAAAGCAAAUGGUCACCAUUUCAAGCAACAGUCGAGUUGUGACAAUGACAUCUGUUUUUACAGGUGCUGAUGAGUCCUGGGGAAUGUCACUUGUCCUCAGAUCUCAGAUAUGGUCCGACAUGGAUGAAAUUCAAAAAGCCAAAAGUGAGAUGAAACUGGUGAGGCGUGUGAAGGGCAGGAGUGGCAGUGAUUGUGGAAGGUCCCGAAUGAUUGGGAAGAGGCUAAUGUGAAGUUCAUCCUCAAAGGGAGUAAGGAGGAUCCAAGAAAACUGCAAACUGGUCAGCUCCACCUCUGUCUCCAGGAGGGUUACAGAGCAAAUCUUCCUGAGGGCCAUUUCCAGGCACAUGAAGGAUAAGAAUUCAGGGGCCAGAUCUGCAUUGACUGUCAUGGGAAUUUGACUUCUCAGCUUAUCUGUUUUAAGCUUGAGCGGAUUCCCACCAUACCUCUGAGAAGGUGGGUGUUUUUCUUGUGUCCCUGGGCAAAGUGAGAGCCUUUGGCAGGACAAGAGCCAAACCUUGGUCCCCCAGGUCUUAUGAGAAUAGUUUAAGUACUGGGCUACCCUUAAUUCCUCCUGGAGGGUUUGGGAAAGGAAAGCAAAAUAUCUUCUCUCAGUCUUCUUAGCAAUCUAUGGGAGCCAGGACAGCUGGUGCUGUGCAUGUGGAUUCAGGACUGUACAUUCGUGAGUGGAUGUUAGCAAUCCCUCUGGAUUUAAUAAUUGAUGUACCACUGUUCACCUGAGCAGAGGCUCUGAAUCCCGUUCUCUGGGGUACUUGGCAGUGGUGGCUGUAAGGUUACCAUGCCCAGAGCAGGAGUGGAAUAAUCCCUUUAAUCCCUUUUGCAAACAAAUGCAAAAUGUGAUCCGUGCCAUGGGCUGAUACCCUGUUCUCCAGGAGCAGCAACUUAAAUUGCCACAACCUGACUCCCUUCCACCUGGACAUUUGAAGACUGAUCCCACAACUGCUUGAAAAUUUAGAUAUGAGCUUCACCCCCGUGGGUCAUCCUGCUGAAGUUAGGCUGAAGGUGACUUUUCUGUGUGAGGUCCUGUGGGCAUCCCAGAUUUCCUAGGGACUGAACCCACCAGCUCCUGGAGAGCCAGGCUUGCUCUGCAGCCAGCUGCAUUCCUGUCCCGCGUGGUGAGUUACAGUGACAGAAGGGAGGAGAAAUGAUCCGAACGAAAGAAACAGAGCAGAAACGUAAACUAGAUCAUGUUGAUUCACAACAGCGUUUGAUCAUUAGUAAGAACCCCCCCACUAAACCAAAUGAACUAUGAAGUAUCUGUGGCAGUGAAAUCCAGCUGCCAACAAUGUUUGUCGUAAAAAAUUGCCAUGGGUACUGUUAGUUUGCUGUAAGCGCUAAAGCUGAAUAUGUGUGCAAUAAAAUACCUUUUAUAAAA